GUGCUUUUUCUCAGCAUCACUUAUACUAAAAUCAGGACAGCAUAGAGAAGAUUAGCAUGAUUCCUGCGCAAGGAUGACACACAAACUCAUGAAGCAUUCCAUAUUGCU
rnacentral:snRNA from 1 species